UUGAGUUAGCGGCGGACGGGUGAGUAACACGUGGGUAACCUACCUAUAAGACUGGGAUAACUUCGGGAAACCGGAGCUAAUACCGGAUAACAUUUAGAACCGCAUGGUUCUAAAGUGAAAGAUGGUUUUGCUAUCACUUAUAGAUGGACCCGCGCCGUAUUAGCUAGUUGGUAAGGUAACGGCUUACCAAGGCGACGAUACGUAGCCGACCUGAGAGGGUGAUCGGCCACACUGGAACUGAGACACGGUCCAGACUCCUACGGGAGGCAGCAGUAGGGAAUCUUCCGCAAUGGGCGAAAGCCUGACGGAGCAACGCCGCGUGAGUGAUGAAGGGUUUCGGCUCGUAAAACUCUGUUAUUAGGGAAGAACAAAUGUGUAAGUAACUGUGCACAUCUUGACGGUACCUAAUCAGAAAGCCACGGCUAACUACGUGCCAGCAGCCGCGGUAAUACGUAGGUGGCAAGCGUUAUCCGGAAUUAUUGGGCGUAAAGCGCGCGUAGGCGGUUUCUUAAGUCUGAUGUGAAAGCCCACGGCUCAACCGUGGAGGGUCAUUGGAAACUGGGAAACUUGAGUGCAGAAGAGGAAAGUGGAAUUCCAUGUGUAGCGGUGAAAUGCGCAGAGAUAUGGAGGAACACCAGUGGCGAAGGCGACUUUCUGGUCUGUAACUGACGCUGAUGUGCGAAAGCGUGGGGAUCAAACAGGAUUAGAUACCCUGGUAGUCCACGCCGUAAACGAUGAGUGCUAAGUGUUAGGGGGUUUCCGCCCCUUAGUGCUGCAGCUAACGCAUUAAGCACUCCGCCUGGGGAGUACGACCGCAAGGUUGAAACUCAAAGGAAUUGACGGGGACCCGCACAAGCGGUGGAGCAUGUGGUUUAAUUCGAAGCAACGCGAAGAACCUUACCAAAUCUUGACAUCCUUUGAAAACUCUAGAGAUAGAGCCUUCCCCUUCGGGGGACAAAGUGACAGGUGGGUGCAUGGUUGUCGUCAGCUCGUGUCGUGAGAUGUUGGGGUUAAGUCCCGCAACGAGCGCAACCCUUUAA
rnacentral:rRNA from 1 species